CACGUAGGGUGCGAGCGUUGUCCGGAAUUAUUGGGCGUAAAGAGCUCGUAGGCGGUGUGUCGCGUCGGCCGUGAAAACCUGCAGCUUAACUGUGGGCUUGCGGUCGAUACGGGCAUCACUGGAGUUCGGCAGGGGAGACUGGAAUUCCGGGUGUAGCGGUGAAAUGCGUAGAUAUCGGGAGGAACACCUGUGGCGAAGGCGGCCCCCUGGUUGGAUACUGACGCUGAUACGCGAAAGCGUGGGGAGCAAACAGG
rnacentral:rRNA from 1 species